UCCAUCUUUCUGCCUCUCACUCUUUGGAUGGCACGCCCACUUCCGGCUCCCGCGCUUCCGUCUGACGGUAGCUCACCGGUUGCAGACUUUUUGCUGACUCCCCCGGUCUGUCAGAACCCGGUGUUUGAUGCAUCGUUAACGCUCGUUAACAGAUCGCUUGUCGGACGGUACGGUUAGCCAUCACGGCUAACCAUAGCCCCAGGCUCCAUCUGCUCUACCUGUUCUGGUGUGGUGCUGCACGGUGCGGCUGUCCUGGGUCUGUGCGGCCUGCUGUCCUUUCCAGCCGCUGUCGUGGCUGCAACAGCUCGUCGAUCUGCUCUCGGGAGCGGUUGCUGAGAGCUACCGGUGGUGGUCCCUGGUGUCCUUGUGGUGGUUUCCCCUUUUGAGUGUGUGUGCUGUGCACCCCCUUUUUUUGU